AUGACAAAAGAAGGAGUCUACAACAAUGUCCUCCAAUCACAUGGCUAUGCAUUAGAUGCAAUGAUCCGAGAAGUGCGCCACAAAAACAGUGCAAGGCAACAACUGAUGGCAGUAAGAUUGCACAACUCUGCCUUACAAAAACAGAUAGAAGAGCUUACAAAAAAGGCAGAUGACCUACAAACGGAGCUGCUCUUCGUCAGGGAUGGUCAAUGGCAGGAUGAUCAAGGGGAGAUACAACCUGUAACAAAUGAUGGAAACCGGGUGGAAGAAGAAGAUGAGGAAACAGAGGCUGAAGUCACCCUGGAGGAGUCGUAACCAACAACAAGAUGUUGUGCUGAACCACAGCACUCAACAACAUUAAAGACAGACCAGAGCAGCAAAAGGACGCCAGUGUCUAAAUGUAAAUAAGAGUUUGUACAUAGUUUUUAGAUAAUAAACGUUACUAAUAAAAGGCUUAUUUGUGUGUUUGGCUUAUUUACUGCUUAUUUGCUGGUUAUGUCAAAUUAUGUGUACAAAUGGAAUAUGAUUCUCAUUUCUUAACAUAAUAUCAGUAGAAAAUCUUCAUCAUUUGGAAGUUAAUCUUAAUCUCCAAUAACAUGUUAGUCACAGGUGGGUACUAACGAGUUACAUUUACGCGGUUACAUUUACUUGAAUAAGUUCUUGAAAAAAUUAUACUUCUAGGAGUAGUUUUCAAUCACUAUACUUUAAACUAUAGUUUAAAUUCAAUAAACGCUUAACUAACUAUAGAAAGUUGUCAAUUAACAAUAAACUCUAAGCUACUUGAUACAGUAGACAUAAGAAUAAAAAUAACAUACAAAUACAAUUCACCUUCAAAAUCAAAUAAGUAAACGUACAGAACUGUGAAAAGAUAGAUAUAGAUAAAUAUAUAGGGCUGUAUAUGGGAUUGUAUUAUUGUACAGUGGAUAAAAGACAUUAGCAGAAAUUACAUUAUUGCACUGAAGUGGUGGAUAAACUUAUUGCACAAAAAAAGAAAGACAGAAAGAAGAGUGUCCAGGUAUGUAUGAGUAGGUUGUUAUUAUCAUUGCACAGUGAGUGCCUACCACUGCUUCAUUUCUUUCUGUCCUCUUUACCCUAUUUCCUACGCCCCCGAGUGAAAAGUUGUAGAGUAGGAUGGCAUGAGGGACAAAGGAGUUUUUGAGCCUGUUUGUUCUACACUUGAGAAAGAGCCGUCUUUCACUGAACACACUCCUCUGGUUGCUGAUGACAGUGUGCAAGGGGUGGGUGGCAAUAAUAAUGUCAAAGACUUGGUCCAGUGUCCUCCUCUCUGCCACCGCCACCAGUGAAUCCAGUUUCAUGCUGACUACAAAGCCAGCCCACAUGAUCAGUUUAUCCAGUCUUGAAACAUGUCACAAUGAAGAGUGGUCUCACUCGGCUUCUGGUGAUCAGGGCUUGGAAGUGGGGUGAUGUGAACAUUUCAAGUUGUGGUCUGCAUGUGUUAUGACGACACGUGACGCGGCCGCAGCACGCCCCUACUUGCGCGCCGGGUGCGAGGUCCCGCCCAACGCUGCUUGCAGCUUUAAUUAGGGACCUCGCAGCGACCGCAGGAGGUCCCUAUUGUUUUUCCUAUGUUUAUUAUUAUUAUUUCUAGUAAACUUUGCAACGCGUUUUUCAGCCCC
rnacentral:lncRNA from 1 species